CAACAAAAAUUGCUAAACUAAUAAUUCAUGAUAUUCAUGUUCCGAUAUAUAAUAUAGCACUAUGAUAAAACAGGCCUGUAUACAUCUUGAUAUGAGGUAUGGAAGCUAUCGAUCAUUAUAUCCAUGGAUUUUCCAUGGGUAGCACGGUUUAGUUGAUAUUAAUCUUUUUUAAUGUGAAUUUUCUGUUUGACAGGUCAUCGGUGCUUAUGUCAGUAUUUUCAGUUUAAAACCUGACGAUUAACAGGAUCUGAUCAGAGAGGAUGUGAAACUUAUGAGAGCAGUUU
rnacentral:lncRNA from 1 species